rnacentral:lncRNA from 1 species
AGCUGGCUUCACCUCUCAGUAGGAAGGAAGACACUUGUUUGGAAUAUUGCAGAAUGGUAGAUAUCACAUUUUAUCAAAGGACAGUAAUGCUUGAUCUUCUAUUUCCCACAGAACUCUGGAUCCAGUUAAGAGCAGGAGGGGGAAAGAAGCAGCAAUAUUUCAAAUGUCCAUACUCUAACCUGCAAAAGACACUGAGUAGGUGGAAGAAAACUGCAUUUUACUUCAGCGGCAAGAUAUCGAGCAGGAAUAGAGACACUGCUUGAAGAAACAGGAGAUAGCGGCCGUACCCCACAUCAUCAUAAAUAUAAUCUAGAAUAUGUUUUAAAAAGCUGCCCUAUUUGUCAAUCUGUCAUGAAAUAUAUUUCAGCUUCAAGCCUCAUGCUCCUGGGGAAAUCACAAAACAUCUCAUUCAGCUGAAGAGGCUGAAACUCGAAGCAGUGCAAUUAAUAUCCUCCAUUUUUGCCAUUGACACGAAAAGCAACUCCUUGGAAUCUGAAUCACUAAUUGUGUCUAAUAGCUUACAUCUGGCUUGCACAAGUUCAACACAUUAGGACAUGGUUAUGUGUUCUGAUCACUGGGCACUGAGUGGGCACAUUCUGACCUGACCUUCAGAGGAGCUGCCACAUUCUAACCUCAAGAAAUAGAAUAUUCAUGAAUGAAUGAAAUCUGGCUUCAGGAAAUUGUAGACACUCUUUCCACCAAAUGCAGCUUUAUUAUAAUGGUCAGUUUUGAAUAAAAUGAUUGAAACACCAUAAAAACAAAAACCUACGCUUGAGUCUGUC